rnacentral:rRNA from 1 species
GUAGUCCACGCCGUAAACGAUGAGAACUAGAUGUUGUAGGGAUAAAACCCUAGAGUAUCGAAGCUAACGCGUUAAGUUCUCCGCCUGGGGAGUACGGCCGCAAGGCUAAAACUCAAAGGAAUUGACGGGGGCUCGCACAAGCGGUGGAGCAUGUGGUUUAAUUCGAUGCAACGCGAAGAACCUUACCUGCCCUUGACAUCUUCAGAAUCCUGCUGAGAAGCGGGAGUGCCUUCGGGAACUGAGUGACAGGUGCUGCAUGGCUGUCGUCAGCUCGUGUCGUGAGAUGUUGGGUUAAGUCCCGUAACGAGCGCAACCCUUGUCCCUAGUUGCCAACGAGUAAAGUCGGGAACUCUAGGGAGACUGCCAGUGACAAGCUGGA